CAGCCAAGCCAGCCAGCCAGCCAGCCAGCGAAGCCAGCCAAGCCAGCCAGCCAGCCAAGACAGCCAAGCCACCGAGCUGGCAAAGCCAGCCAAGCCACACAGCCAGCCAAGCCAGGCUAGCCACCCUGCCACACAAGCCAGCCAAGCCUCCCAGCCAGUCAAGCCAGCCAAGCCACCCAGCCAGCAAAGCCAGCAAAGCCAGCCAGCAAGCCAAGAGAGCCAAGCCAGCCAAGCUGGCCAGCCAGCGAAGCCAGCCAAGCCAGCAAGCCAGCCAAGCCAGCCAAGACAGCCAGCCAAGCCAAGUGAUUUGGUGUUCCCUCCCACGCCUCCAAUAGUCUCCACUAUUAUCAUUGUCUUCUAGAUCUUCUGCGAUGCCCUGGAGAUUAAGGAUUUGAUUCCAUGACAGAGAGGAGGUACAUUUCGAUGGAACUUUGGUGUCCAGUGUGAGGUUCACCUGGUGCAGUCUGGGGGAGGCUUGGUACAGCCUGGGGGGUCCCUGAGACUCUCCUGUGCA